UCCCUGGUGGCUCAGAAGGUAAAAGCGUCUGCCUACAGUGCAGGAGACCGAGGUUUGAUCCCUGGUUUGAGAA
rfam:Ovis aries breed Texel chromosome 4, whole genome shotgun sequence.